AUUCCAAAGCAACCUUCGUGCUAAAGCCAUUGGCCACAGAAUCCAUGUGAUGCUGUGCCCUUCAAGGAUUUAAACUUACUGUAAAGUAAAUAAAAGUGUACAUUUGCUCUCUUACGGGGGGCAGGGAGGGAGGAAGAAAAAAAGAAAAAUAGGUCCAUGGGUGACGUGUGAUACUCUGUUUACGGAAAUGGAGAAUAAAUGCUAAAUCAUUGCCUCUGAGACCUCCUAAGUUUUGUCGUGAGGCUGAGAAGCCAGAUGCCAAGUUAUUAUUCCAACAGAGAGAAAAGCGAUGAUGGGAGUAACACGUGGGAUUUAGCACAAAACCAAUGAGCAUUUCAACAUACACAGGGAGCAGUGAAAAUGACCCAAUACCAUUUAUGAAAGGAAUCAAUGCUGUUUAAAAGAGGCCUCAAGGCUUUACUUCCCAGUGCAGGCGGGACAAUAAUGGAGGCCAUUGGUCCUCUCCUGCAAGGCCGUGAGUGAGGGAACAGAGCCCAAGAGGCCAAAAUACAUGUCAGUUGUGUCUGAAGGGCUUACUCUUCCCUUUGAAAUCACCUAGACCAUCCAUUCAGAGAAUGAGGUCAAUCCAAGGGUUAAGAAAUCAGAGAUGAGGAAUCCCGCUAAUCCAGGACCCAGUAUCCCAGGCUUCACGUACAUGUCUGCUUCCAGGCUGCAAAGAGGCCUGGAACAAGUGACUCAAGGUUUCCUGCUUUUACAAACCUAUGCAAAAGACAGCAACUCUCACCCAGAACCUGCUGCAAGGAUGAAUGAGAAUGUUUUUAAACUUGAAAAAGCGGCUGCUAGUUUUAAAAAUAAAAAUGGAGGUCAUUCAAAUGCAACAGCAUGUGCUCUGGUUCCAGCCUUUAUGCCACUGCAGAGACUUUCAUUUCCUCCACACACUAUGCAAUUUGAAUCUGGUUUGUGAAAAUGUACUGUGGUUCAGCAUAGUGUAAGGAGAAGAUCAGAACAUAAAACAAGACCACAUCCAUAAUAUUUCAGAGGGAAUAUAAUGGUUUAAAGAGUAGGCUUUGGAAUCACAAGGUCAGGCUUCAAACUCUGGGCCCCCUAUUUCUUUUUUUUUUUUUUAAUUUUUAUUUAAAAAAACUUUUUUAACAUUUAUUUAUUUUUGAGAGAGAGAGAGAGAGAGGGAGAGGGAGAGAGAGAGAGAGAGAGAGAGACAGAGCAUGAGUGGGGGAGGGGCAGAGAAAGAGGGAGACACAGAGUCCAAAGCAGGCUCCAGUCUCUGACCUGUCAGCACAAAGCCCGACGCGGGGCUCGAACUCACAGACUGUGAGAUCAUGACCUGAGCUGAAGUCAGAUGCUUAACCGACUAAGCCACCCAGGCGCCCCUGGGCCCCCUAUUUCUAGUGUAUGACCCUGGAAAGUUACUGAAACUCUCUGUGGCUCAGUUUCCCCACCUCUACAACAGGGGUUAUGGUUGUAGGUUUUGAUCUCGAAGCUUUCAAAUAUUCUAGUUUUACAGAAAACUAGGUCAGGGUUUGAUUCCAAAAAGCCAAAAUAACUAAAAGUUGUAAACUGAAUUAGUAAAUCCUCUAUCAAAGAUGCAGUCUCAGUAAGCAAGCACAUUGGAUGGCCAUGAAAAAUGCAUGGCUGUUCCUCUGACGAAGGCCCUCAGCCUUGUCCACAGAUACUGCCAGAAGAUUCCUAUCCAAAGCUCCUGAAUUCUUCAUGUCUCUGUUCCUCGCUGUGCUCUCAAUAUUCCAAACUCACAGAUAUUCAGUAUCCUGGCAAGGCAGAGCACUGCUCAUAUUGUAUUGCUGUGGUUUUAUCAUUACAGGUUGAGAAAUACAGUUUUAAUUACUGUUUGAGGAGAAAAGUAUCCUAAUGCCCAGUGGUAUAUCUUAUACAUCUUACAUAAGACAGAUGUAUAACUGGAGGAACAAAACUACCAACAGCCUUCUCCUUCCCAUGAGCAGCCAUUACCCGCUUUGCAGCUUAGCAAUGGGAUGGUUUCUUAAUAUGAGGAGGUCAAGGGGAUGCAAUGCUGAUACGGGGCAGGGACUGAGUGAAAGAUACAUCGUUCAUAUAACAACCGCUAGCAUUUGCUUGAAGACAAUUCUUGCUAAUUAUGGGACUGGUAAGAAAAAUGCACCUCUUCCUUGUUUUGAGUUGACAUUACAUGAUCUCUUAAAAUGAAUAUUUGAUCCUUGAAGAAGUAAGCAGGUAUAUGGAGGUAUAGUUUGUGGUUAGGUGACUGAGGCCUCUGAGAACAGUUAACAGCAGGAGCAUACCGGGAAGGUGCAGAGAAUAAAUAGGCAUGACUCAUCCUGAUACGGAGACCACAAAGGGCCAAGGAGGAUGCCUGUGCAUACCCUACGGCUCUGAGAAGUCAAAUGCUAUCAAGGACUGGUCUGGUCUAAAGAACAGACAACGGAAAAUGCAUUUCUUGGAAUAAGUAAUGGCUUUGGGGUGAGAGCAACAUUUGUGUUUAAAGGGCAGACUGUUCUCAAAAGGUAAAUGAACACAUAUGUUUUGUCAGUAAUAAGGAAAAGGAAGUCCUGCAUGAAGGCACAGGCCUGACACCAAGGUCAGGACCCUCUGAGUGAAAUUUAACUUCGUGGGUACUUUUUACGUGGACUCUAAUUGAGUCCCUAUUAAAUCAAAAACAUCAGAACACUUUGGAGCAAUACACCAAAAGCUUCCAUGUCCACAACAAAACAUUACAAUGUCUACGAUAUAAUCCAAAAUUAUUCAACAUACAAAGAUCCAGGAAAAUGUGACACGUUCUCAAAAUCAACAGAUGCCAAUGGUGAGACGAUCGGAUGGUGGCAUCAGCAGACAGGAGCUUUAAAGCAGCUAUCAGAACCAUGCCCAGGGAAGUGAAGGAUGUUCACAAUAAAUGAAAGGUAGGCAGUACCAAUAGAGAAAGAAAAAAAGGGAAUUAACAACUGAAAACAUACAAGGGUUGAAAUUUUAAAAAUGCUCAAUAGAAGGGAAAUGACAGAGGACAAAGAGGGUAAACCUGAAGAUGUAUUAAUAGAAACCAUCUAAUCUAAAGAAGAGACAGCGUGCUGAGAAAAAGGUGAACAGAGCCUCAGAAACCCGUGGGAGAAUUUCAAAAGCUCUAACAUAUGGAUAAAUGUGUCCCAGAAGGACAGAGAGAAUGGAGCUGAAAAAUGGCUGAAAAUCUCCCAAAUAUGGUAAAAGACAUAAACUCAACAGAUUUAAAGUAGCUUAAUGAACUCCAGAACAAGAGAAAUUCAAAGAGAACCAUGAUUAGGCACAUCCCAGUCCGACUAACUGAAAACCAAAGAUAAAGAAACUCUUGACUGCACCCAGAGAGGAAAAACAUGUUGCACAUGGGGAAGAACGAUUAGAACAAGCAAGCCCUUCUCAUCUCUGGAGGCCACGGACACUGAAACGACAUCUUUAAAGCACAUAAAGCAAGAUCAGGUGGAAUUCUUUAUCUAUGAAAUUUUUGAUCAUGACAAAAAGACAUUUACAGAAGAAGGAAACUGGAAGAACUUGUUGCCAAUGGACCUGCUCUAUAAGAAAUGCUAAAGCAAGUUCUUCAGUAUGAAGAGAAAUGAAAUCGGUAGGGAACUCAGAGCUUCAGGGACGAAUGAAGGCGACUGGAAAUGGUAAAAGAUCAAAAGCAACUAGAGAUGCAAUGCUUCAGAACGCAGAUGGCAGAAGACUUGCCAGGCAGCCAUUCACCCUUAUGUGACAGCCUCUGCUUACGCUGAAGCUUGUUUCAGUCCAGGUUCACAGACAUUCUAUCAAAAUGGCACACGUUUCUCUGUGGCUUCUGUGAAAGACCAAUGGAGGAAGUGCUAGAAAACGAGGCCAAAGCAGCACCGUGGGCAGUGGUG